rnacentral:tRNA from 1 species
ACUUGAAUAGCUUAAUUUUUAGAGCAUAGUAUUGAAGAUACUAAGGAGAUUAAUAAAUCUUUAAGUA